AGCUGGGACUGCUGGCGCCCGCCACUACGCUCGGCUAAUUUUUUUGUGUUUUUAGUAGAGACGGGCUUUCACCGUGUUGGCCUAGCGGUUCUCCAACUCCUGACCUCAUGAUCCCCCCGCCUCAGCCUCCCAAAGUGCUGGGAUUACAAGCGUGAGCCACCGCGACCCGCCAACACUCUUGACAACAGUGCUGUGCUAAGAACUUGGGGGACUUCAAAAAGUUCACCAGUUCCUGUGUCCAUGGGUGAAAAGAUUUUCUACAUCUUUCCUUGACUAGAAACAGAAGUCCUGAAACAAGAAUAUAACGUCAGGAGGCCAGAGGCUUUGUCCUGCCUAAUGUGUUAUUUCCACACUGAAUAAAAGCACCUGAGUCCUGGUAAGUCUAAUUUGCUAGGUGUGGCAAUAUGACCAGUGAAAAACAACAAGGGCAGCAUUUCCUGCAGUUCGGUGGCACAGUAUGGUUCAAAGAGGUAUAAAAGGAAGUCACAGGCAUUUUAAAAAGGUUGUACAUCUAGCAAUACCUAACAAAAUAGGAAAUCAACUUGCCAAUGGCUGUGUUUUGAGUUUAUGGAGAGCCAUAUGUGGCAAGGAACUGAGGGUGGCAUCCAGGCAACAGACUUCAAGAAACUGAGGCUGUCAGUCCAACAACCCACAAGAACUGAAUCUGACCAACAAUCACAGGAACAAACUUAGAAGUAUACUCUUUCCCAGACAAACCUUCAGAUGAGACCACAGCCCCAGCCAUAAGCUUGAAAACAAUCUCAUGAGGGACCUUGAGCCACAGGCAUGUAGUAAAGCUAUGCCAGGAAUCCUGCCUGCCCCACAGAAAAUGUAAAAAAAAUAAAUUUUUAUUGUUUUAAGCCA
rnacentral:lncRNA from 1 species